UACGAAGGGGGCUAGCGUUGUUCGGAAUUACUGGGCGUAAAGCGCGCGUAGGCGGUUCGCCAAGUCGGGCGUGAAAGCCCCGGGCUCAACCCGGGAAUUGCGUUCGAUACUUGCGGACUUGAGGUCGGGAGAGGGUAGUGGAAUUCCAAGUGUAGAGGUGAAAUUCGUAGAGAUUGGGAAGAACACCAGUGGCGAAGGCGGCUACCUGGCCCGAAUCUGACGCUGAGGCGAGAAAGCGUGGGGAGCAAACAGG
rnacentral:rRNA from 1 species